rnacentral:rRNA from 1 species
AUUGAACGCUGGCGGCAUGCCUUACACAUGCAAGUCGAACGGCAGCAUGGGUGCUUGCACCUGAUGGCGAGUGGCGAACGGGUGAGUAAUGUAUCGGAACAUGCCCUGAAGUGGGGGAUAACGUAGCGAAAGUUACGCUAAUACCGCAUAUUCUGUGAGCAGGAAAGCAGGGGAUCGCAAGACCUUGCGCUUUAGGAGUGGCCGAUAUCGGAUUAGCUAGUUGGUGAGGUAAAGGCUCACCAAGGCGACGAUCCGUAGCCGGCCUGAGAGGGCGACCGGCCACACUGGGACUGAGACACGGCCCAGACUCCUACGGGAGGCAGCAGUGGGGAAUAUUGCACAAUGGGCGAAAGCCUGAUGCAGCGACGCCGCGUGAGGGGUGACGGCCUCGGUUGUAACGUACUUCUAGCAGGAAGAAGACGCAAGUGAGGUACUGCAGAGAAGACACCGGCUACUAACGUGCCAGCAGCCGAC